GCUGAAGCAAAACAAAGGCCAUUUUGCUUCCUCCGGGAGGACCACGUGCCAACCAAUAAGAAAGUAACACAUGUCCUUUCUUUUGUGAUUCAGCUUCACACCAAUGGCUUAAAUCUCAUCCGUUUAUUCAAUCCAAUGGCUCUUAAAUUUGACACAUCAUCAAAUUAUAAAAAGACAAUUUCACCCCCCUAAAAUAUUUCAAACCUUGCGUCUGCUUGUAUCUCCUCCUUUGGAACAAAAAUCAAAAUUCUCUCUCUUUCGCUCUCACAGAUUGAAGCUUUCUCUCUUCACAGCACAGCCACUGCCCGGAUCUCCGGUUCCAACGAUGCUAGCCUUUUUCUCAUCAGAAAAUCCCUACUGGUACAGUCACCAAAUUUCAAAAUUUUUCUCUCUUCCACCAAACCUUGCUGUAUGUGGGACACCAGCGUUGAUUCUCCAUGACCAUGGCUACAACUGGAAGCCUCCAAGGCUCACACGACCACCACCGGCGGUGCUUGCUGGCCUGACCUUCUCCUCUCUUUAGGUCUCUGUUUUUUCGCUCUCUCAAGUCCAGCCGUGGCCAAGCUUUUGCUUGCACCGCGACACCACCAUUUCUGUCAAGAAGCUGGAGGCGCACCAACUAUAACUUAAUGAGUUGGUCAUGCCAUUUAAGUUUGUAGAAGAACUUGAUCUUGAAGCUUAGAAGACCUUCUUCUUAUUUUUUUUCUUUUGUGGGAAUUAUGUAUCAUGAAUAUAUGAUGAUGGGAAGAUUUGUUUCUUGUUAACAAAGUGUAUAUUUCAACAAAACUAUUGUUAUAUGGCCUUGUGGUCGAAGUGUACAUUCUAAUAAAAUUUUGUUUAUUUUUAGAACAA